GGCAGAGGGACACGAAAACAACCUUUUUUUUCCCCCCCAGAGACUCGUCCAUUUCACUCGGACUGGACGGCGAAAAAAAGGAGGGAAAAAGCACGACUCUCUAUCAAACCAGAUCUCGGUCGCUCGGUUUUCCGCGCUUUUCUCUCGCAAAGGCCGCGAAGUGAAGGAAGCGGGGGCUGAAGCUGGCCCUUCUCCGGCCUCUUAUGAAGGAGCAGCUGGUCGCGCUUCGCUUCAUACGCGGAGGGGCUUUGCGAGCUCUUUCUACGGAAACGCAGAGUCAGCCACCCCAACAGCUGGGUUCCUAACAAAGCUGGAUGUCCGAUACAGCUCUGCACUGGUGGAGGUCGGUCGGUCUUCAGGGAAACUUCAACACAAAGGGUCACGUGUGGAGGAGAGGAAGCCGAGACGUUCAGGAGGCCUGCGAGGAGAGGUGCUCGAUCAUUCCCGGUACCACGGUGAACCCUAUCUCGCUCCAUUCUGCCCACCGCGCCGGCAACGAGCAGACCGGAUCUCACGGAGUUAA
rnacentral:lncRNA from 1 species